UACGAAGGGGGCUAGCGUUGCUCGGAAUCACUGGGCGUAAAGCGCACGUAGGCGGACUCUUAAGUCGGAGGUGAAAUCCUGGAGCUCAACUCCAGAACUGCCUUCGAUACUGGGAGCCUUCGAGUUCGGGAGAGGUGAGUGGAACUGCGAGUGUAGAGGUGAAAUUCGUAGAUAUUCGCAAGAACACCAGUGGCGAAGGCGGCUCACUGGCCCGAUACUGACGCUGAGGUGCGAAAGCGUGGGGAGCAAAAGGG
rnacentral:rRNA from 1 species